AGGUCAGCUAAUAAAGGAGCUAAUAGAUUCGUUCCCAUGGGAAUUCCAACCAACUGUUGGAAGACCUGAUCACCAAAGGCUACGAAGAUAUUGCCGAUGACGUUUUGAUAUCAGCUUCAGAGUACUUGUAUAGUGGUGUUUAACAAAGAAAUAUAAUGUAGGGUCAAAAGAGUAGUCGGGAUUGGUUCAAGUUCACAUGAUUUGGGUGAAACCGAUCAAAUUUUACACUUUCUUUUUACCAUCUACUUGUCACGGUAUCAUCAUUAGCAGUCAAAAAACAUUUUUCAAUUUAUUUAUACAUAAUUAUUUAUAAUAAUUAUACUCACUUAGUCCCACUAAAAAAAUGUUUUCCAUUUUUUUCUUUCCAUUUAUUUUCAGAUUUAAUCUUUUCAUAUUACUUUUUAAUUUUAUGAUAUAUUUUAUUUUCCGUCAUAGUUCAACACUAGUUAUACAGCUUUACACAUCUAGGUACGAAAUACUCAUUAUAAGCCGUCAUUAGAACGAGUUAACAUACCGUUUAAGGAUACUGAUUAGUUAACUCGUUCUUUGUUUUUGACUUGAUCCAGCGUAGGACGAGUCAGUUCAGAUCUGUCUUGACGCUCGAUGGGAACAGACUUUUCUAUUGCCACAUAUUACACUCACAAUUUUAAUAUGUAAACGUGUUGUUUGUUAUCAGCUUUUGUAGUUUAGUUAUAAUUUUAGUUUCCUUUUCUAUGUAAAUAUUCUAUCGUCCUGAGGAAGGGACAGGUCGUCGCUGAAAUUUAACAAUUCACUUCUGUUCGUGUCGUUGGUCAUUUUUAGUGCUUUUUAUAUCCUUUUUUAUUUGACCUCGUAUCUACUAUUAGAUCCGACACUGUGGAUGUUGAGUGUUGUUGAAUUAUAGUGCUUUAUAUAUAUAUAUAUAUAUAUCAGUCUAAAACAACAAAAAUAAGAAGACAACACAAUUUGUUAAAACAAAUGUGAAGUCAAUCCAAGUACACACGGUGAGUUGGUAUCAAAAAACACUUUUAAUUAGAAAAUAAUUUUGUGCAUUCCUGUUUUAGAAGCUCGGUCCGUAUCCUGCUCCAGAAGCUCGGUCCGUAUCCUGUUCCAGGAAGCAUGACCUAUAACGCCAGAGUUGGUGUCCUUUUUUCUGACUUCCGGUUGACUUUCCUGUCUAGUUCAACAUUCCCUUUCAUACAAGAUGCUAACGGUUUAGCACCAAAUUACUUAAAAGACAUCAUCAGUGUACCAACCGAACCGACCUCUGCGUUCUAAUGAUUCUUACAAAUUAAUAAUACCGCAUGGCGAUUUGAAAUUGCUGCAGCCACCCUAUGAAGUGGUUUACCAUCGGAGACAGGGGACUAUAUUGCGACAAAAUAUAUAGCCUUGGAUUAUUUUAUUACCCUUUUUAUUAGGUAUGUAAAGAGGAUUGUUCCUGGAUAAAAUUCAAAGUUAUAUAUAAGAACUGAAGUUAAUAAGCAUAUAACCAUUGUACAUAAUAAUACAUAAAAUGAUAAUAAUAAAAUACCUGAUGCGCACCGUAUUCCUACUGCAGCGUUACAAUUCAAUGAAGGAACCAUGCUUAUUUUACAGUCUGUUACAGAGGUCUCUGUUCCGUCACAAGAAGACUUCUUAAUCUGGUAAUCUGGCAGCUGAGUUUUGGGAAUAUAUUUGGCAAAAUAUCCACUUGGGUGUAUCCUUUAAAUUGAUAUAACUUGAAAUAAGUAUCUUUAAAUCAGAAUGACACAUGCACACCUCACCUACUUCUACAUGUACCUACAUCGUACAUUUACAAACAUUGAAAUGUGUCACUUUAUGUUUUCUGUCCUGUAAAAUUCAGCUUCCUGUAACGUGGCACCGCGUGCGUCUACAUUGUAUGUCACUCAAUGGCUUCUCAGAGUCUACAGAUGACCAGCAAUUUAGUUCCGUUAUUAGCUUACCUGUUUUGUACUCUUACGAGGCAGAAUUCAAUCAAAAGCUUCAACAUGAGGAGAAACAGUAUUUUGCUGUGGCUAGUCGUUUUCUUUCAUGUCAAUUCGAUAUACACUUGUAUCACAGUGACACAACACUUCAAUAUCUGCUUCGUAUUUGGAUAUUUUAUUUCAAACUAACAACUCAAGUUUUCGAUAACUUUAGCUACUACAUCAUCAACUUCCCAUAUUAGCAACAUUUCAUUAUCACUUCUCUAUGGUGUUUAUGUCUGUCAACUGAUUCGAUACGUGAGAGUUUGUUCUCUCUGUGGUCAUUUUUAAAUCGAACCAUGUCACUGAUAAAUAUGUUGCAGUGACAACGUUUUAAGCAGUCUUGUUUAAAAUCAGCAUUUCGCAGAUUACAUGUAUAUGACCGUUAUGAUAAUCAAUUUUGCAAAUACUACCUGUCAUUAGGUCGAAUGCUGCCGGACGUGGAUCUUAUCAAAUGCAAGGCCAUUUUUUACAUACUGACUUUUACUAGUACUCCGUUUACCCUGAUCAAGAUAUAGGGCUCACGGCGGCUGUAACCGGUCAACAGAGGAUAUUUACUCCUCCUAGGCACCUGAUCCCACCUCUGGUGUGUCCAGGGGUCCGUGUUUGCUCAACUAUCUAUUUUGUAUUGCUUAUGGGAUUUAUAAGAUUAAUCACUGUUCGUUAUCUUCACCUAUCAUUGACCACUGUUCAUUAUCCCCACCUUUCAUGUAUCAAAAUCUCAAGUUGAUUUUUGAUUUUCAUCUCUUUAUAAAUCUAUCAAGUUAACAUUGUUAACCCCUCAAAAAAAAAUUCCAUUCUCAAAUACUUUUAUCAUGUCUAGGAUAAUGAUUUUUAAUUUUGUCUACUCUUAGUUACUAUGUUUACUUCAGUUUAGUAUUAUUCCAUGUCCCAAUUAUGAAUUUAGUGUUCUUUGUUUUAGUUAGUUUUACAUGUAAAGCACUUUAGGGUAAUUGUGUUGAUUGUAUAAGGCGCUAUAUAAAUGUACAAUAUUCAAAAUAAUACCAUUAAUAAUGUUUAUAUCUAUUGUUCAGGUACCAGUUAGUUUGUAUGCUUUACACUCCAUUCGAGAAUUUGUCACUCGUACAGAGACGUCACCAGAUUUAGGUGACGUCACCAGAUUUAGAUGAAGUACCACAAAAGUCGGUACCAACAUCUCUAUUGAAAAAUACUAGUACAUGCACUUCUCAAACGAAUACACUGACAUUGAGUCUGUGUGCCCUUCCUCUUGUACCUUGGUUUUCAUUUGAAGGGCCUUGAGUUUUUCAUCUUUUUUUUUUAUCAUUCAUGUAAACAAAGUUUUGGUGUAUCUCUAAUUUGCCCAUUUGAAUUCACGAUUUCAAAAAGUUGUAAAUGUUUCCCCGACCUCUCCUACAUAAAUGAAACAUUUCAAAAAAGACAUUGUGGAGUAAAUCUUGUGAAAAGUUACUUAGUCUAUUAAAACCUUAAAGUCCUGUGUUCCAAUCCAGGCCGGAGCAUUAUUAAACAUUUAAGUAGCGAUAACGUACGGAUUUAGGAGACAAUAUACCAAAAGUAGUAUGGUAUCGUAUACAUAGGGGGAGUCUCCAUCGUAAACUUCAUAUGUUUGUGUGGCGGUGUUCCGUUAUCACCUGCUUAUGGUCUUUGUGUAUCUCGGCUGAUUCGAUGUGUGAGAGCUUUGUUCUACGCGUGGUUGAUUUUUAAGUCGGGGCGAGCUGCUGGCAGAGAGGUUGAUGAUGCAGGGGUUUCGGCAGUCUCGUUUGGGGUAAGCAUUUCGCAAAUUCUAUGGUCGUUAUAACGAUCUUACGAAAGCCCAGAAGGCUCAUUCGAGAUUCGAAAUUCAAAAUACGAGAUUCAAAAUUCAGAAUACGAUUCGAAUUUCGAAAUUCAAAAUCCAAAUUAACCAAUCAAAAUUUAGGUAACAAUAGACUAAAGGGUAGAGAGUAUAUGCACAUAAAUUUAAAAAUAUGACAGAAAGCUUAUUCUUCUAAUAUGUUUACCAAACAACGAAACAUUUCUUUUGAAACUAUAAAUGUUAUGAUGCAUACUUAGCAUGCAGACAGGCCCGUAGAUGUGGGUGUUUGGAUCAAAUACUUAUCUAUUAUAUAUAAACAAUAGAGGAAAUUCGAACCAAAAAUAAAUAUUUCUCUCCAAUCUGUUCUUUUUACAUUUUUUAAGGGUCCAGAAAGCUUAACUACAUGCGUCAUUACGAAAGAAAACUAAUCUAUCCACGUUUUAAAAAUUAUCUUAUCCCACUGAUUCAUAUUAUGGAGAAUAUUUUGACAUUAUAAAUCAAGUCAUUAUAUGCAAACAGACCUGCAGAAAUUCAGGUUCAUAGAAAGCGGGGAGGGGGGGGGGGGGCAAUGGAAUCGAAGGUUAUAUGAAUAAAAUCAACUGAUGACACCCAGUAGCAAUGAAUUCUGAUUUUAGAUUAAACUAUAGGUUUACCUGCAUACCAUAAUUUAUUUUACAUGAAGAUAACUGUACAUGUUUGAGUUAACAAUGACACAGGCGCAUGUGAUUAGAGAUUUGAAUGAGAUGACUUUGGACAGAAAAAAUAUAUUAAAAACAUACAACGGAUAGACAGCUAUUAUUAGAGGAUUUUAAUUAUUAAAGAAGAAUUACUGGGAGUGAAUGGGGCCCUGAAACUAGCUGAUAAGCAGUGUAAAUAACUUUUAAUCGACAAAUAUCUGUCAUGGGGUACGGAAAGGGGUAGAUUGAGGUGCAAGCCUUGUUAUAUAUUAUGAAUCAGUGGGAUAAGACAUUUUUUAAAACGUGGAUAAAUUAGUGUUCUGUGAUAAUGACACGUGUAUUUAAGCUUCCGGGAACAUGAAAAAAUGUAUAAAGAGACACCAUAGAUCAGGGAGAAAUAUUUAUUCGUGGUUCGAAUUUCCUCCAUUGUUUACAUAUAGGUUAUAGAACAAUAUCCUUGACCCAGGCUCCUAUGAAUUCUUUUCAAGUUAUUGUUCGUUAAUUUCCUUAAUUUGCAUUUUGUUUCAUUGUUUAUAGUUUUUACAAAGUUGGCCGUUAUCAUUAUUUUGUUUUUAUUUCUUUUUUAGCAUAUUGUUGAUUUCAGUGUUUCAGUGACUGACAUCCAGACUGCAUUCUUUGUUACCUGUAAGUUUUUAAUUCAUAUUUAGGAAUUUACAUUAGGCAUGGUAUUAUUUUAUUCAACAAUCUACACUCUUCAAUUUUAACUGUUAAACAUUCAGAUUUUAAAACAAUAAUUGACAUAAGAAAAUUGUGCUCAAGAAUAGAAUUUGUUCAUAUUUUUUCUAAUACAAUAAAGGUUAAUGAAGAGACUGGUUUGUCUCCUGGAAACUACACCCAGAAGUAUGCAGACAAACAGUUCAAGCGGCGACUGAAGGUUGAAGAGAGGUCAAAACUUCCCUCAACAAAGAGAAGGCGACUACAGUUAAUUUUUUUAAGGCCAGAUGAUAUUAACAAUUUUUUCUACCUUUAGCACUGAAGAGUUCACAUGGUAAAAAAUAUUUUGGUUGGUUUUGGUUUUCUCAUUUAUAGUUGUUUGGAACUCUUCUUUUUAAGAGCAGGAAAGGGGCUCAGUAAACAAUGUAAACAAUUGUGGUGCCAGAAUCAUUCAAGAGGAGAAAAUCAGGAAAAAUUAUUAGUAAAAAACGUCAUCAAAGGUUACAGAAUGCUAAGAAAGGUUAUGCAUUAUCCCUUGGACGUAAGAUAGUGAAUGUUUAUGCCAAUAACAACGUGAUGAUCGAGGAGAAGUUGGAUGAAUCAAGGAAAAAUUGUUCGUCUGGUGAUAAUUCACAAGAAUGCCUAGGAAAUGAAGACACGUAUCCAUCUGAUGCAUCAGAGAGUGAGGAAUCGGAAGAAGAGCAUGAGGAGAUGAUUUGUUGGAGAAGUGGGAGACGAGUUGUGGAACUUGGAAUUCUAGUGGACAAUUUGGAAAAAGGUUGUGUUGUGUGUGGUAAACCACUAGAUUUAACAACGCAUAAGACUUUGGGAGGACGAAAAACGGUAUGGACUAGGAUCAUUGUUAUAUAUAAGAUGCUAACAGGAAGCAUGCAGUCAUCUUUUUUCUGUUUCUACUGGGAAACAUUAUAAUGCAGAAUCUAACGUAAAAUGGCACAUCAAAGAGAUCCUGUAUUAGACAUUUCUUUAUUUUUUUCCAGAGAUGAAUAGCCAAGGAAAACCAAGAGUGACAAAAAACAAAAAAAAAAAACAAAAAAAAACAAAAACAAAAAAACAAACAAAAAAAAAACAACCCAGUAAAAUCAUAAAUGCCAUUGUAAAUUAUUUUCAGAAGUUGUAAAAUUUUACUCUUAUAUUAUGGGAGAUAACUCUUCUUUGUCGUGAGAAAAUUAGCCAAUGUGAUAUUUACAAUUUUGCUUCUACUCAGAAAAUUCACUCCGUAUGGUAUAUGAUUUUUAAGUUUAUAUUAAACUUUAAACAUUAAGUCAACAUAUUAUGAAGUUUAUUUUAAUUUGUAAACCUUUACUGAGGGUGCAAUGUCCAUAUAUGUAAUUUUAUUGAAGCAGCAAUUGAUCUUUUCCAAGUGUAAAAUUUGUAAUGCAUUAAUAUUUUACAUGUUAUGUUGUAAAUCUAAUAUCAGUACACUCUGUUCUCCCUGACAACCAUUUUUUGAGAUAUAAAGAAAGGUAAACAGAUGAAUAAUAAACUAAUUUACCAUGAUAACUAUUGUUUUGUACUUGUUUUGGAAAUAUGGAAAAUAUUUCACUCUCCAAGUCAAAGGCGAAAAGAAUUCAAGGAAUUAUCCACUUUUAUAAAAGAAUGACAUCAUAUAAAGUCUCUUCGAAAGAAAAAAAUUGUUUCUAUCAUCUGCCCUUAAAACAAGAGAGGAAUGUUACACAAUGUGCAUUACAGGCACUUGAGGGUGACACAUAUCAGUCAGAGAUUGGAUUAGCUGAUGAGAUUGACACAGAACAAAUCCCAGAUCCUGUCCCCCGAGGUGUUUUCAAGCCUGUCACCUUGUCCAGUGGAACUCCUUCUCUUGUAAUGUUUGAUUUAGAAACUACAGAUUUGAGCAAGUUUUAAAAAAAAGGUUGCUUGCAUGUUAAUGGGCAUACAUAGUAGUGCAUUGUAGAACAUUACAUUUCAAAAUAAUGCCCCCCCCCCCCCCCCAAAAAAAAAGUAAGGGGGGGGGGGACUCAGCCAGAGGCAAUAUUGACCAAAAAAAUUAAAUAAAUAAAUAAACAUAAAAAGAGAAAAAAAGGUAAUUAGAAAGGGGUCAAUGUAUGGAUAAGUAAAAUUAAAAUUUGAUAGUGUUUUUGUAUGAUUUAUUCAGAAUAUUUUGACUCUAUUUCAGUUCGAGGAAGACAGAUGCCACAUAUUACACAGCUGGCUGCAGUUGAAAUGGAGACAGGAUCUAUGUAUAAUAAUUAUAUUCUCCCAAAGGUGCCCAUUACAGAAGAAGCACUGAAUACAACUGGCAUAGUGGUCAAUUCAGAUUUACAGAAAAUGACUGUCCAUGAAAAAGAAGUCGAUGCAGUAAAUAUAACAUCUGGACUGACAGAAUUUUCAAACUGGUUAAAGAAUUUUCCCAGAGCUAUAUUAGUGGCGCAUAAUGGAAGGAAAUUUGAUUUUCCUGUUGUUAUGAACACAUUACAUUCUUUGAAUUUGACAAAUGUGCUCCUUUCUGCAGUCUCUGGAUUUACUGACUCGCUUAGUAUUUUCAAGAAGGCAUUUCCUGGCCAGCCAAAUUAUAAACAGGAGACCUUAGUGAAGUCACUACUAGACACCACAUACAGCGCUCAUGAUGCAAUAGAAGAUGUCAAAACAUUAGGAAUGUUGAUGAAACACUCUAAAAUAUCAGGUCCUGAAAUUUUACCAUUCACUUUUCCACCAAUUGCUGUGCACCAUGGCCUUAUUUUCAGCAAGGAGAAAUCAAAAAAACAUAACUUCACUGCAUGUUCUCAUAGCAAAAGGCAUUGUGAAACAUAAUACAACUGAAAACAUUGCAGGUUGUGGAUUGAACUUGUCACACCUUCACAAAAUAUUUCAGAGAGAUGGUGAGGAUGGACUAAGAGCUAUAUUUUCACAAAAAACAUCCGACGGUCAGCCACGAGUUUCGUCUACAAAACGUGUUCUAGAUUCUGUCAUUCCAAAACUUGUGGAUUAUUUUGAGAAACAAUAUGAAACAUGAAUUGUGUCAGAUAUAUUGCAGUAUCAUUGUAUAUUAUGUUGAUGGAAUGAAUAGAAUAUAAAGUAAAAUUACUUUUUACUUUCCCAAUGCUGUAACAUUGUUGCUAUGAGAUAUAUUCCUAAAGUCUUAGAUGUUCUAAUUGAAGAUCAGCUAUUAGGUCAAUAUUUGAGGUCAUUGUCAAGGUCAAUGUAAUAUAUAUUUUAUUUUGACAAGUUUUUAUACGAAGUCUACAUUUAGAUUGUAAAUUUAGUGUUGUUUUGUUAAAAUAUGCAUGUUUGCAGAUUUGUUUUUUAAACAAAAGUGUUCUUAUAAAUUUGGGGGGGGGGGGGGUAGGGUUGUGAAAAUUGUAAAAAAAAAAAAAAAAAAUAAAUAAAUAAUAAAAAAAAAAAAACUAAUUAUCUCUGGUAAAAAAAAAUUUUAAUUUUAUUUUAUUUACUUUAUCAUACAUUGUUGCAAGUAUUUAUAACAAAAUAACCUAAGCCAAUCCAUUUUUCAUUUUUCUAUGAGUUAAUUUAUGAACAUCACAUGAUUUUUAUGAGCCGAAAAAUAAAGCAGACCUGACAGUAAUCUUGAUUUUCUUGACUCAUUUUGCAUUAAAAGCAACAUAAUUUUUUAUCCACUAUUUAUUACAAUACCAAAACUACCAAAACCCAUCCCCCCUUUUUUUGAUUUUUUUUGGUGGCGAUAAUUUCUCUGAAAUAUGUGGAUUCCUUGUCUAUCAUAUCCCAAUUUCGAUUUAUAUAAUCGUUUCACGCUUUUUGUAAGCUGUAGACAUUGGCUUAGCCUUCUAUUGGUAUAACAAAUUGUAUUCUAUUAUAUCGAUAGAAGGCCAAUCUCUAAAGCUUACAAAAAGCGUGAAACGAUUAUAGAAAUCGAAAUAAGGUUGGGGUCGACAAGGAAUCCACACAUUUCGGAGAAUUUAUCGCGGCAGAAAAAAAUAAGAAAGGGGGGGUGGUGGUAAUAGUGUCCAUACUUCAGAUGCCUGUACAAAUAUCUUCCUCACUCGUUCAUCUAUUUUUUUUAUGUGCGCCUGGGUGUAAAUAAUAGAGAAAAUUCGAACCAUGAAUAAUUAUUUCUCUCCCAUCUAUGUUCUCUCUUUUUAUAUAUAUUGUUUUAUGUUUCAGGAAACUUAACUACGUGCGUCAUUAGUCAUUACCACAGAACACUAAUUUAUCAACGUUGUCCCAUUCAUGUAUGUUCUAUGUACAGUACAGUAUUUAUAGUCUCAGGAACCGGUAAUUUUGUCCGUAAUAGUAAUAGUAAGGUUCUAUACUAUAUCACCCCCUAAUAAAUAUUAGGAGAUAAUUCCAAUGUUAUUUAUUACAAUUGUUUUGAUUGGACGAAAAUAAAGCUGAACAAAAGUUUACACAUCAAUAAAUCCGAAAACGCGAUGUAUUCAUACACACCUGAAAACAAAUAACAUAGUCCGGAAAAACUAUUCAAAUUUUUGGAAUUGUUAGUAAAGUGAAUGAAUUGGAAUUAUAAGAAUCAAACGUUCUUUUAUUCAGUUUGUGAGCAAAAUGUCCGGAGUUUACACAUCGAUAAAUUCUUCAAAAAGAACGUUUAAUCCUAUAUUGAUAUAAUAUAGACCCCAACUAUUAUUAUAUUACAGACAAAAUUAUCAGUUCCUGUGGUACGUAGGUUGAUAUAAUAUGAAUCAGUGCAUAAGAUAAUUUUUAAAACGUGGAUAGAUUAGUAUUCUGCCGGUAUCACGCACUUAGUUAAGCUUCCUGGAGCCUAAAAAAUGUAAAUAGAUACAACAUAGAUCCGAGAUAAAUAUAUAUUCAUGAUUCGAAUUUCCUCCAUUGUUUAUAUAUAGAUAACUGGGAAAAAAUCAAUCUAGAAUCAAUUGUUGGAGGUUUAUCAUCGGUUAAUAUACUUCAUAUACGAUUUCACUUUAAGGUAUCAUGUGUAUUCGUCAUUAUUUGACCUGGUUAUCACAUACAGUGCAAAAUUAAUAUGUGGGAGCUGGUACAAGUUUACUGUCCGCCUCCCUUCCCACAGGCACCUGAAGUAUGGAUAUUACUACACCCCCCUCCCUUUUCAUAUUUUUUUUUUGGUGGCAAUAAUUUCUCUGAAAUGUAUGAAUUUCCAGUCUGUUACGGCCAUUUCGUUAAUUAGUGCUCUCUCUGGAGUUGUGAUGUGAUGUCAUCAUUUUUGGGGCACAAUAUUUUUUAUGUGUAGAACCCGUGAUUCUAUUAUGGCAGGACGCGGCAAGUGCCAUACCUGCAUUACCAGUUUUCCAGUCAAAUGUUACUAGUUAACUUACCAGUCAGCUUUGUACUGAUAAUUAUGUUCACUGAAGGAAACUUCUGAAUUGGUGAGUGUAUUAUUGUUUUUAUUUAGGUAUAAACUGUGCAUUUAUGUAUCUCAGUAAAUUUUGCAUUAGUAAUUUCAGUAUAAAGUAAUUGCUUUUAGUAUUUGUGCAAUUAUAUUCAAGUUCAUUAUUUAUAAUGCAAUUAGGAAGUCAGGUAAUAUUAUUGACAUGUAUGUGAUAUUGUUGGAUACGUGCACAUUUAUCAAGUACUGGAGAUAACUCCAUUUUCACCAUGUUUUCCAUUCUUUAUCUGUAAUAAUCUAGAGUUAUGCCACUUUUGUUUACAUUAUGUCGGCAAUUUUUCUUAUCCAUACUGCAGUGUCUGUUAUUUUCUAGUACAUGUAAUACAUUAUAAUUGAUUUGCUAGGAUGUGUUAUCAUGUGUGAUUUAAUCUGAAAUAUCUUGUAUUUAUUGGAUAUUUUCUUUGUAUUUUUUGUAGUAAAUCGUCGUUAAACGCAUUUACAAGUUGUUUCCUACUUCAUUCCCUAUUUGGCCAGUACACAGUCUAUCUCAUCCCUCUUUCGAUUCAUGUAAUCGUUUCACAC